ACAUACUGACGAGUUCAAAAUAGGACGAAACGAGCGUCCUAGAU
rnacentral:hammerhead_ribozyme from 1 species